UUCGCAAUGCCCGAAAGGGUGACGAAGCGACGCCGCGUGCGGGAAGAAGGCCUUCGGGUUGUAAACCGCUGUCGGGAGUUAAGAAAUGCAAGGGUGUUAACAGCAUCCUUGCUUGACUAAGGCUCCGGAGGAAGCCACGGCUAACUCUGUGCCAGCAGCCGCGGUAAUACAGAGGCGGCAAGCGUUGUUCGGAAUUAUUGGGCGUAAAGAGCACGUAGGCGGCUGUGUAAGUCGGUUGUGAAAGCCUUCCGCUCAACGGGAGAACGGCAUCCGAUACUGCAUGGCUAGAGUGCGGGAGGGGGGAGUGGAACUUCUGGUGGAGCGGUGAAAUGCGUAGAUAUCAGAAGGAACGCCGGCGGCGAAAGCGGCUCUCUGGCCCGUAACUGACGCUGAGUGUGCGAAAGCUAGGGGAGCAAACGGGAUUAGAUACCCCGGUAGUCCUAGCCGUAAACGAUGGGCACUAAGUAGAGGGGUUUU
rnacentral:rRNA from 1 species